rnacentral:lncRNA from 1 species
GACCUAUACACUCGAGGAUGGCUCGACAAAUCAAACACUUUGGACCGCACAUGGAAAAAAGUCUGAAAGAUCUUUGAUUUUGUUGAGUUGAAGUGACUUACAAAAUUGGGCCGAAGUCCGGUUACAAAAUUGGGAUGAAGCCCGAUUACAAAUAUCAAAGAUAAAAUAGAAACAAAAAAAAUACAAAGAUAAUAGAGCAGGUACUCCGACUAUUCAUCGGAGUCGACUUCUUGCACUGGGGAGAGUUCGG